CCUACGGGUGGCAGCAGUGGGGAAUUUUGGACAAUGGGCGCAAGCCUGAUCCAGCCAUGCCGCGUGCGGGAAGAAGGCCUUCGGGUUGUAAACCGCUUUUGGCAGGAACGAAACGGCGCUCGCUAACACCGAGCGCUAAUGACGGUACCUGCAGAAUAAGCACCGGCUAACUACGUGCCAGCAGCCGCGGUAAUACGUAGGGUGCAAGCGUUAAUCGGAAUUACUGGGCGUAAAGCGUACGCAGGCGGCUAGGUAAGACAGAUGUGAAAUCCCCGGGCCUAACCUGGGAACUGCAUUUGUGACUGCUUAGCUAGAGUCUGUCAGAGGGGGGUGGAAUUCCACGUGUAGCAGUGAAAUGCGUAGAGAUGUGGAGGAACACCGAUGGCGAAGGCAGCCCCCUGGGAUAAGACUGACGCUCAUGUACGAAAGCGUGGGGAGCAAACAGGAUUAGAUACCCCAGUAGUC
rnacentral:rRNA from 1 species